rnacentral:rRNA from 1 species
AUUGAACGCUGGCGGCAUGCUUUACACAUGCAAGUCGAACGGUAACAGGCCUUCGGGCGCUGACCAGUGGCGAACGGGUGAGUAAUGCAUCGGAACGUGCCCAGUCGUGGGGGAUAACGCAGCGAAAGCUGCGCUAAUACCGCAUACGAUCUGUGGAUGAAAGCGGGGGACCGUAAGGCCUCGCGCGAUUGGAGCGGCCGAUGUCAGAUUAGGUAGUUGGUGGGGUAAAGGCUCACCAAGCCAACGAUCUGUAGCUGGUCUGAGAGGACGACCAGCCACACUGGGACUGAGACACGGCCCCAGACUCCUACGGGAGGCAGCAGUGGGGAAUUUUGGACAAUGGGGUCAACCCUGAUCCAGCAAUGCCGCGUGCAGGAAGAAGGCCUUCGGGUUGUAACUGCUUUGUACGGAACGAAAAGGCUCUGGCUAAUACCUGGGGCACAUGACGGUACCGUAAGAAUAAACACCGGCUAACUACGUGCCAGCAGCCGCGGUGAUACGUAGGGUGCAAGCGUUAAUCGGAAUUACUGGGCGUAAAGCGUGCGCAGGCGGUGCUGUAAGACAGGCGUGAAAUCCCCGGGCUCAACCUGGGAAUUGCGCUUGUGACUGCAGUGCUGGAGUGCGGCAGAGGGGGCAUGGAAUUCCGCGUGUAGCAGUGAAAUGCGUAGAUAUGCGGAGGAACACCGAUGGCGAAGGCAAUCCCCUGGGCCUGCACUGACGCUCAUGCACGAAAAGCGUGGGGGAGCAAA